rnacentral:rRNA from 1 species
UACGUAGGGUCCGAGCGUUGUCCGGAAUUAUUGGGCGUAAAGAGCUCGUAGGCGGUUUGUCGCGUCUGCUGUGAAAACUCGGGGCUUAACUCCGGGCCUGCAGUGGGUACGGGCAGACUAGAGUGCGGUAGGGGAGACUGGAAUUCCCGGUGUAGCGGUGAAAUGCGCAGAUAUCGGGAGGAACACCGGUGGCGAAGGCGGUUCUCUGGGCCUGACCUGACGCUGAGGAGCGAAAGCGUGGGGAGCGAACAGG